rnacentral:RNase_P_RNA from 1 species
AAAAGUAGGCGUAGGCAGUUGCGGGCUAGGGGAUCCCUUAAGCCUGAGGAAAGUCCGGGCUCCCGAAAGACUGAACUUGCUGGGUAACGCCCAGUGCGGGUGACCGUGAGGAAAGUGCCACAGAAAAAUACCGCCUUUUCAUUGGUAAAAUUGGUUUUAACCCACGUUAUAAUUCAAUGAAACUAAUGGUAGGGUAAGGGUGCAAAGGUGCGGUAAAAGCGCACCAGCAACAUCGAGAGGUGUUGGCUCGGUAAACCCCAGUUGGGUGCAAGGUAGAAGGAAUUAGGGUUAGUCUUUUUCCCAUUCCGGUUUAGGAGUGAUUAUCCUAAACAGCACCGCUAGAGGCAGUUGGAAACAAUUGUCCCAGACAGAUAACUGCCCAUUGAUGAUCCUAUGGGAUAGUCAUGAACAGAACCCGGCUUAUGUCCUACUUUUCUAC